GACGAACGCUGGCGGCGUGCCUAAUACAUGCAAGUCGAACGAGAGCGACCGGUGCUUGCACUGGUCAAUCUAGUGGCGAACGGGUGAGUAACACGUGGGUAACCUGCCCAUCAGAGGGGGAUAACAUUCGGAAACGGAUGCUAAAACCGCAUAGGUUCUACAGUCGCAUGACUGAAGAAGGAAAAGAGGCUUCGGCUUCUGCUGAUGGAUGGACCCGCGGUGCAUUAGCUAGUUGGUGAGGUAACGGCUCACCAAGGCCGUGAUGCAUAGCCGACCUGAGAGGGUGAUCGGCCACAUUGGGACUGAGACACGGCCCAAACUCCUACGGGAGGCAGCAGUAGGGAAUCUUCCGCAAUGGACGCAAGUCUGACGGAGCAACGCCGCGUGAGUGAAGAAGGAUUUCGGUUCGUAAAACUCUGUUGUUAGAGAAGAACAGCGCAUAGAGUAACUGUUAUGCGUGUGACGUAUUUAACCAGAAAGCC
rnacentral:rRNA from 1 species